rfam:Pseudomonadales bacterium RIFCSPLOWO2_02_FTLL_63_210 rifcsplowo2_02_scaffold_329204, whole genome shotgun sequence.
UCGUGAGUCGCUGCUGGCCUAGGGCCGCGCGGCACGCUUCGCCUCGUUCGGGAUGAAUGGCGCGGAGUAUCACCAGAAAAAGGAA